UGAGGAAUUUUCCGCAAUGGGCGAAAGCCUGACGGAGCAAUGCCGCGUGAAGGAUGAAGGCCUAUGGGUUGUAAACUUCUUUUCUCAGAGAAGAAUUUUGACGGUAUCUGAGGAAUAAGCAUCGGCUAACUCUGUGCCAGCAGCCGCGGUAAUACAUAGGGUGCAAGCGUUGUCCGGAAUUAUUGGGCGUAAAGAGCUCGUAGGUGGCUCGUCACGUCGAAUGUGAAACCCUGAGGCUCAACCUCAGGC
rnacentral:rRNA from 1 species